rnacentral:rRNA from 1 species
GACGAACGCUGGCGGCGUGCUUAACACAUGCAAGUCGAACGGAAAGGCCCUGCUUUUGUGGGGUGCUCGAGUGGCGAACGGGUGAGUAACACGUGAGUAACCUGCCCUUGACUUUGGGAUAACUUCAGGAAACUGGGGCUAAUACCGGAGAGGAGCUCCUGCUGCAUGGUGGGGGUUGGAAAGUUUCGGCGGUUGGGGAUGGACUCGCGGCUUAUCAGCUUGUUGGUGGGGUAGUGGCUUACCAAGGCUUUGACGGGUAGCCGGCCUGGGAGGGUGACCGGCCACAUUGGGACUGCGAUACGGACCAGACUCCUACGGGAGGCAGCAGUGGGGAAUAUUGCACAAUGGGCGGAAGCCUGAUGCAGCAACGCCGCGUGCGGGAUGACGGCCUUCGGGUUGUAAACCGCUUUCGCCUGUGACGAAGCGUGAGUGACGGUAAUGGGUAAAGAAGCACCGGCUAACUACGUG